AGUGAACGCUGGCGGUAGGCCUAACACAUGCCAGUCGAACGGCAGCACAGUAGGAGCUUGCUCUUACGGGUGGCGAGUGGCGGACGGGUGAGGAAUACAUCGGAAUCUACUUUUUCGUGGGGGAUAACGUAGGGAAACUUACGCUAAUACCGCAUACGACCUACGGGUGAAAGCAGGGGAUCUUCGGACCUUGCGCGAUUGAAUGAGCCGAUGUCGGAUUAGCUAGUUGGCGGGGUAAAGGCCCACCAAGGCGACGAUCCGUAGCUGGUCUGAGAGGAUGAUCAGCCACACUGGAACUGAGACACGGUCCAGACUCCUACGGGAGGCAGCAGUGGGGAAUAUUGGACAAUGGGCGCAAGCCUGAUCCAGCCAUACCGCGUGAGUGAAGAAGGCCUUCGGGUUGUAAAGCCCUAUUGUUGGGAAAGAAAAGCAGCAGAUUAAUACCCCGCUGUUCUGACGGUACCCAAAGAAUAAGCACCGGCUAACUUCGUG
rnacentral:rRNA from 1 species